rnacentral:rRNA from 1 species
CAGUCGCCGCGGUAAUACGAAGGGGGCUAGCGUUGUUCGGAAUUACUGGGCGUAAAGGGUGCGUAGGCGGCCAUUCAAGUUAGAUGUGAAAGCCCUGGGCUCAACCUAGGAAUUGCAUUUGAUACUGUUUGGCUUGAGUUCGGGAGAGGUGAGUGGAAUUCCCAGUGUAGAGGUGAAAUUCGUAGAUAUUGGGAAGAACACCAGUGGCGAAGGCGGCUCACUGGACCGACACUGACGCUGAGGCGCGAAAGCGUGGGGAGCAAACAGGAUUAGAUACCCCGGUAGUCCCUGUCUCUUAUAC